rnacentral:rRNA from 1 species
CUUAGAGUAAUGUCUAAGUAUCAUUAAGUGAAUACAUAGCUUAAUGAGGGGAACUCAGGGAACUGAAACAUCUAAGUACCUGAAGGAAGAGAAAGAAAUUCGAUUCCGUAAGUAGCGGCGAGCGAACACGGAUUAGCCCAAACCAAUAAAGUUUUCUUUAUUGGGGUUGCGGACAUAUCAUAACGAAGAGGUAUCGUAAUUGAAGAGGUUUGGAAAGACCCACCACAGAAGGUAAUAGUCCUGUAUGUUAAACGAGAAGACUUCAGAUAUGAUCCAGAGUACCACGGGACACGUGAAACCCUGUGGGAAGCAGGAGGGACCACCCUCCAAGGCUAAAUACUACCUAGUGACCGAUAGCGUAUAGUACCGUGAGGGAAAGGUGAAAAGAACCCCGGGAGGGGAGUGAAAUAGAACCUGAAACCCUGCACUUACAAGCUGUGGAAGCACAUUUCUUGUGUGACCGCGUACUUUUUGUAGAACGGGCCAACGAGUUACGUUAAGUAGCAAGGUUAAGCACUUAAGGUGUGGAGCCGUAGCGAAAGCGAGUUUUAACUGAGCGUUCAGUUACUUGACGUAGACCCGAAACCGGGCGACCUACCCAUGAGCAGGAUGAAGCGAAAGUAAAAUUUCGUGGAGGUCCGAACCCACGAGCGUUGAAAAGCUCGGGGAUGACUUGUGGGUAGCGGUGAAAUUCCAAUCGAGCCCGGAGAUAGCUGGUUCU